rnacentral:rRNA from 1 species
GAAGUUGGAUUCGCUAGUAAUCGCGCAUCAGCCAUGGCGCGGUGAAUACGUUCCCGGGCCUUGUACACACCGCCCGUCAAGCCAUGGGAGCUGGGGGUGCCUGAAGUUCGUGACCGCAAGGAUCGACCUAGGGCAAAACCGGUGACUGGGGCAAAGUCGUAACAAGGUAUC